AGCGAACGCUGGCGGCGUGCUUAACACAUGCAAGUCGAGCGAGAAAGUCCCGCAAGGGAUGAGUACAGCGGCGAACGGGUGCGUAAUACGCGGGCAAUCUGUCCUUGAGGUGGGAAUAACCCAGCGAAAGUUGGGCUAAUACCGGAUAAGACCACGGGAGGAAACUUCUGAGGUCAAAGGCAGCCUUCUUUUGGAGGCAGUCCUUCGAGGAGGAGCCCACGUCCUAUCAGCUAGUGGUAGGGUAACGGCCUACCAAGGCAAAGACGGGUAGCUGGUCUAAGAGGAUGAUCAGCCACACGGGGACUGAGACACGGCCCCGACUCCUACGGGAGGCAGCAGUGGGGAAUAUUGGGCAAUGGGGAAACCCUGACCCAGCGACGCCGCGUGGGUGAU
rnacentral:rRNA from 1 species